rnacentral:misc_RNA from 1 species
GAUGAAGAACGUAGCGAAAUGCGAUAAGUAAUGUGAAUUGCAGAAUUCAGUGAAUCAUCGAAUCUUUGAACGCACAUUGCGCCCUCUGGUAUUCCGGGGGGCAUGCCUGUUCGAGCGUCAUUAUAACCACUCAAGCUCUCGCUUGGUAUUGGGGUUCGCGGUUCCGCGGCCCCUAAAAUCAGUGGCGGUGCCUGUCGGCUCUACGCGUAGUAAUACUCCUCGCGAUUGAGUCCGGCAGGUCUACUUGCCAGCAACCCCCAAUUUUUACAGGUUGACCUCGGAUCAGGUAGGGAUACCCGCUGAACUUAAGCAUAUCAAUAAGCGGAGA